CGGAGGAUCCAAGCGUUAUCCGGAAUCAUUGGGUUUAAAGGGUCCGUAGGCGGGUUUAUAAGUCAGUGGUGAAAGCCCAUCGCUCAACGAUGGAACGGCCAUUGAUACUGUAGAUCUUGAAUUAUUAGGAAGUAACUAGAAUAUGUAGUGUAGCGGUGAAAUGCUUAGAGAUUGCAUGGAAUACCAAUUGCGAAGGCAGGUUACUACUAAUGGAUUGACGCUGAUGGACGAAAGCGUGGGUAGCGAACAGGAUUAGAUACCCUGGUAGUCCACGCCGUAAACGAUGGAUACUAGCUGUUCGGAGCAAUCUGAGUGGCUAAGCGAAAGUGAUAAGUAUCCCACCUGGGGAGUACGUUCGCAAGAAUG
rnacentral:rRNA from 1 species